rnacentral:rRNA from 1 species
GAUGAACGCUAGCGACAGGCUUAACACAUGCAAGUCGAGGGGUAACAGGGUAGCAAUACCGCUGACGACCGGCGCACGGGUGAGUAACGCGUAUGCAACCUGCCUAUAACUGGGGAAUAGCUCCCUGAAAGGGGAAUUAACACCGCAUAACACUAUUGAUUCGCAUGGAUUGGUAGUUAAAUGUAGCGAUACAGGUUAUAGAUGGGCAUGCGUGACAUUAGCUAGUUGGUGAGGUAACGGCUCACCAAGGCUACGAUGUCUAGGGGUUCUGAGAGGAAGGUCCCCCACACUGGUACUGAGACACGGACCAGACUCCUACGGGAGGCAGCAGUGAGGAAUAUUGGUCAAUGGGCGCAAGCCUGAACCAGCCAUGUCGCGUGCAGGAAGACUGCCCUAUGGGUUGUAAACUGCUUUUUAAGUAGAAGAAACACAUCUACGCGUAGAUGUCUGCCAGUAUACUAUGAAUAAGCAUCGG